GGUUGGCCAUGGAUGCUGGGGGAUGCUGUUUCUGGGGAAUGACUGAAGUUUGAGAACUGCAGUUUACAGCAAUGGUUUUGCAGAUUGAUAGUGCACCAGAGGCCCUUGGCUUUAGAGAUCCCUAGUGGAACCAACACCAUGACAGCUGUAACUCAUCAUAAAUCUGGUAGCUUUUCUCAGCAGUUAAAAUGUGGUAUGGUUCCCUGGUCCAGGCAGCAGUGACCCAGCAGCCAUCCAAGAUGUCGGCCAAGGUGGGAGACACGGUCAGGAUCACCUGCUCAGGGAGUAGCAGCAACUAUUAUGGCUGGUUCCAGCAGAAGGUUCCUGGCAGUGGCCCUGUCACUGUGAUCUACUGGGAUAACAGCAGACCCUCGGACAUCCCUUCGCGAUUCUCCGGUUCUACCUCCGGCUCCACGGCCACGUUAACCAUCACUGGGGUCCAAGCCGAGGACGAGGCUGUCUAUUUCUGUGGUGGCCAGGACAGCAGCAGUACUGCUGGUGAAGUGACAAAGACAGAGGAAUUAAAAGCAUAGAUUUGCAGUCCUUCUCAUGGCCAAGCAGAGUUGUGGCUGUGGGACUGGGGAAGGUUUAUGUCUCCUCUGCAUUACCAUGCCUAUGAAUACCAUUUUUUGUCCCAGAGAACAGAACUUUAUGGCUGGGGACCAUUGUCCUUGUCCCUGCAAAACUCGUAUAUAUGUGUAUCUUGUAUAUCUGUGUUCCACAGCUCACUGCCUCUUGCUACUGAU